ensembl:lncRNA
GCAGGGAGGUACUGGUACAGAGUCAAUGUGGAGGCUAUAUACAGGGAGGUACUGGUACAGAGUCAAUGUGGAGGCUAUAUGCAGGGAGGUACUGGUACAGAGUCAAUGUGGAGGCUAUAUACAGGGAGGUACUGGUACAGAGUCAAUGUGGAGGCUAUAUACAGGGAGGUACUGGUACAGAGUCAAUGUGGAGGCUAUAUGCAGGGAGGUACUGGUACAGAGUCAAUGUGGAGGCUAUAUACAGGGAGGUACCGGUACAGAGUCAAUGUGGAGGCUAUAUACAGGGAGGUACUGGUACAGAGUCAGUGUGGAGGCUAUAUACAGGGAGGUACCGGUACAGAGUCAAUGUGGAGGCUAUAUACAGGGAGGUACCGGUACAGAGUCAAUGUGGAGGCUAUAUACAGGGAGGUACCGGUACAGAGUCAGUGUGGAGGCUAUAUACAGG